rnacentral:tRNA from 1 species
GGCGCUGUGGCUCAAGUGGUAGAGCGCUAGCCUUGAGCUGAAGAGCCGAUUGCAUGCUUGAGGCUCUGGGUUCAAUUCCUCAGCACCA